rnacentral:misc_RNA from 1 species
AUAUCUUGUUUCCAUAUUUUGCGUGAAUGAGAUUGUACACUUGACAUUAGAUUUUUUAUAGCGAGCCCAAAACAGUUUUUGUGGCCCGUUUUCGUAUAGCUUUUAUGGGACUGGUCAAGGUUGAAGAUUUCGGGAGCCGUAUAGAUCGAUUGAGUGUGAGUGCACGAAAUUUUAUUCAUUUGGUUUCUAACAGCGUAUACGGUUCACAGUUAUUUUUAGUCUUCGUUACAUUUUUUCUACUGUCAACUUCAACUUUCGUCAUGGCUGAAGAAAACAAACACUUGACUGCCGUCCUCCAGGGUAAUGGACUGUUUACCAGAAACGCUUACCAGAUACUAGCCCAAGAAAAAGGCAAAAAUAUAUUUUUCUCACCUAUAAGUAUACACGCAAUUUUAUCUCUGGCUUCACAAGGAUCUGGAGGGAAAACACAAAAAGCAUUGACUAGCGCCCUCCAAGUUGCUGAUAUCGCAACGUUGGCCGAGGGCUACAAAGCAGCUAUGCUUAAGCUGAAUUCCGUUGAGGAUGUAACUCUACUUAUGGCUAAUAAGGUUUAUGUCAAAAAUGAAUAUGCAUUGAAAGAUGAGUUUAAAGACAAAGUUGUCAAUCAUUUCUUUUCCGAAGUUCAAAAUGUUGAUUUCUCCCAAUCAGCAGCAGCUGCUAAGACUAUUAACACCUGGGUUGAAGAAAAAACAAAAGAUAAAAUUAAGGAUUUAAUACAACCUGAUGAUUUGAAUGAUGACACCCGCUUGGUUUUGGUCAACGCCAUAUAUUUCAAAGGCAAAUGGGCUGCACCGUUCAAGCCUGAGGACACAAAAACCGAGAAGUUCUACUUAAACGACAAUGAUUCGAUAGAUGUUCAAAUGAUGCAUACUAAAAAGAAGUUCUUCUUUAAAAACGAUGAAGCAUUAGAUGCCAAAGUCUUGGAAUUACCUUAUACCAACAAAGAUCUAAGCAUGAUCGUGAUAUUGCCUAAUAAGAGAAACGGUAUUAAUGAGUUGGAACUUAAAUUGGCUAAUACUGAUCUAACUAAGAUCACGGAAAAUAUGUUUAGGCCAGACGUUAUCGUUGCUUUGCCCAAGUUUAAAAUUGAAACCACCAUCAAUUUGGAGGAGCCUCUCACAAAGUUGGGUCUUGGCGUCAUAUUCAGUGAUCACGCGGACUUCACUGGCAUGCUUAAGAGUCCUGAACCACUAAAAGUUAGCAAAGUGAUUCACAAAGCGUUCAUCGAGGUUAACGAGGAAGGCGCUGAAGCAGCAGCAGCUACUGGAAUCAUGAUGGGUUUGGGCUGCUGUAUGCCGAUGCCGCCCGAGUCUUUUACUGCAGAUCAUCCAUUUUUGAUACUGCUGACAAUCAGUGAUCCGAAUAUCAUACUGUUUAAAGGACGUGUUUCCGCAUCUGCUGUCUAAAUGUAUCAAUAGAUUGUUGAAUUACCCCAUUUGUCAUGUCUUUAAGUUCCUUCCGCAUCUAUAUAUCGUAGUGAGUUUUAUACGUUGUAUGCCGAGGCCGCCUCAGCCACCUGAGUCUUUUACUGCCGAUCAUCCAUUCUUGAUACUGGUGACAAUCAAUGAUCCAACAAAAAUCAUACUAUUCAAAGGACGAAUUUCCGCAUCAGUUAUCUAGAUGUAUCAAUAGAUUGUUCAACUUUCUCAUUUUUCAUGUCUUUUUAAGUUUAUUCCACAUCUGUGUAAGUUUUAGUAACUUAGUUAUAUCUAAAAAUAUUUGUAUAAAAGCUAAUGAGAUAAUAAAAGUGCAUUGCAACCACA